rnacentral:ncRNA from 3 species
UACGAAGGGGGCUAGCGUUGCUCGGAAUUACUGGGCGUAAAGGGAGCGUAGGCGGACAUUUAAGUCAGGGGUGAAAUCCCGGGGCUCAACCUCGGAAUUGCCUUUGAUACUGGGUGUCUUGAGUGUGAGAGAGGUAUGUGGAACUCCGAGUGUAGAGGUGAAAUUCGUAGAUAUUCGGAAGAACACCAGUGGCGAAGGCGACAUACUGGCUCAUUACUGACGCUGAGGCUCGAAAGCGUGGGGAGCAAACAGG